CUUCCCCUCCCCUCCCCUCACCGCACCAGGACGCGCUCCACACCCCCGACCCGGUGCGCCGCCGCUGUCGUCGUUGCCGCAGAGAGAGGAAGGGAGUGAUGACAAUGUUAACGGCGGGCCAAACGGAUCGCCAAGCACAUCAUGCGGAGUGGUGUUGCUCCGAUCGAUGCCCUUCUACACCGAACCUCCAAAUCUCACACGAAAAAAAGGGGAUCUUGGCGAUGGCGGCGGCCGGCGUCACUUCCUCCAUCCUCUAGGAAGAUGUUGUUUCCGAGCCUGCCGCCGCCGCCCCCACGCUGGAAGAGGCGUCCUCAGAGGCUUCCAAGGCUGACGGCGGCCACAAGAGAAAGCUCAAGGAGGCCGACGCAGUCGCGGAGGCCAACGGCGCCUGGGAGGACGCCAACCGACCGCAUGUGGAAGGCAAACCACAGGUUAAUGGGUUAAUCUCUACAACACCCCACCCCUCUCUAUCCACGUGUGUAUUGUACCUAGGAUUUAGUGUCACAAACCAGUAAGACCAAGCCUGUAGGCGGACUUGGUAAUGCUGAUGACCUUUUUGAACAUAUGUUCAUGGACAACUUGAACCUCCCAUACCAAAUAAAUAAAUGGGCAUGUACACUAUUAUGAUUUGUCAUGUGCGGAAAUUUUCAAGCCUAAUUUGUCAAAGAAUGGAGAUCUCACCUGAUCCAUAAGGAGCAAACCCCACUCUCUGUUCCAGAUUUCUUCAAUAGUUUUAGCUGAAUCUUCAGAUAGUUUGCCCCCAAAUGCCACCAUCUUAUAUAUGUAGUCACAACAACACCAACCAUCCCUCGAAAUUUCUCUUUUUAUGUGAUGUAAAAUGGCUGAUAUGUUCAUCUCUUAUAGUUGACCAGAGCUUGAACUGGAAUGCUCAUUGAUCAGUAGAUACAACAUUUGUGACUAAGCAUAGAUAUUCUUCUUAAUACGACAAGCUGUAGAUACAUCGACCAAGGACAUACCAGCACCACAAGGCCUGACCUUGCUCUGGCUGCAAAAUCAUGGCAAAAAUUGUGCAGAAAAGGAGAAGAAGCAGCAGCUGAUACUCUGCAGAUACUUGGGAACAAUAGAUGCAAUCCAUUUCAGUGUAUGUCACUGAGUUCCAAAACUAACAAUUAACCAGUGAACCCAGGGAGUACAUUUUCUAGCUAACGCCAAAAGAAGUGAGACUGUCCCUAUAUUUUUGCUUAAAUUUAACAGAUUAUUUAGUGACGAAUUUGGUAGAAAUCAAUAAACCCAAAAGAAUGCUAAUGAACCUGAAAAUAUCCAUUGGACAAAAAAUGCAUUCUUCUAGCCACUAGCCUACAAGUUAGAGAUCAUACUUUUGUUUGCGGAGCAAAUGCGCUGAGACAACCUGCAAAUGAGCUCAAGUGCAAAAAAAAAUUAAAUUACAAAAGAUGCAGAUCUUCUUUCAGAUGCCAUGACUCGUCCGGUGGAAUUGUUUGCAAGUCAUCUGAGUAUUGACAAGGCUGAGCAGCUUAUUAAGAGUGUAUCUCUGAGGUUGAGUUGGAGGUUCCCCUACCUUGACAGCCAAAGGUUUUGGGUCCAGACAGUCAGGUUCAGAACAGUUUGAGAGUGGAGGCUUGCCAGUAUCCAGUUUCUUCUACCUCAUCAUGCAUGUUCUCGGGCUCCCCCAACCUCGACCUUCACGUUGAGCGGUGCUGCCCCUCUAAUGGCCAGUUGAAGCGGCAACCCCAGGCACGCAGCCGUCAAGAUAGCGACCAUGGUUCCGCCCUUUAACCAUCCCUGGGCGUGACGUCCUCUCUAGGUUCAAGGAGGAGCGAGUAGGAGGACAUGAAGUAACGCUCAUAUAUUGUGUGUAUCUUCCACUUUAUGAUUCCAAAUCAGAUAACCCUGCCAAGGUCAGCUUAGAGGUUAAUGUGAUCUGUAAAUCAAGCAUAGCAAAAAUACUGGCCAAGAAAGAUGUCUUAUCUCCAGUCUUUAAUUUAAACGUCACAUUUAGACUUCCUGCCAUAACUCUGCUGUGUAGUGAUACUGAUAUGUAUCCUCUCUUUCCUGCCUCCCUUUUUAGUUUUUUUGUGAUAUGUUUGGAGGCUAAAGUAAUUUGUAUACGAUCGCUAGAUCACUAACCCAGGAAGCUACAUUGACUGAUCAAACAUGCUAAUUACUGGACGGUCAAUGACUGAAUAAACAUCACCAGUAAUCUUAACAACUCUCCAGAAUAAAGGGGGACAACUUCUUUGUUCAUAUUCA